rnacentral:rRNA from 1 species
CAGCCGCCGCGGUAAAACGUAGGUGGCAAGCGUUGUCCGGAAUUAUUGGGCGUAAAGGGCUCGCAGGCGGUUUCUUAAGUCUGAUGUGAAAGCCCCCGACUCAACCGGGGAGGGUCAUUGGAAACUGGGAAACUUGAGUGCAGAAGAGGAGAGUGGAAUUCCACGUGUAGCGGUGAAAUGCGUGGAGAUGUGGAGGAACACCAGUGGCGAAGGCGACUCUCUGGUCUGUAACUGACGCUGAGGAGCGAAAGCGUGGGGAGCGAACAGGAUUAGAUACCCCGGUAGUCCCUGUCUCUUAUAC